CACAGAACAUUGGUCACCUUUGAUUGGUGUGUGUGUAUAUAUAUACACAACCAAAUAAAGGCUCUAUCUAAAUUCCCUCCAAAAAUUCUUCAAUCUUUGUCUCUUGAACUUGAACUUGAUCUUUUAGUUUGAAGAUGAAUGAUCCCGGAAAUGCUUACCCAUACUCUGCUCCAGGUUAUUAUCAGCAAGGGGCACCACCAGUGAUGGUACCACCACAGUCUAUGGGUCCACCGGCAGGAGAACCUACUUUUCUUGAACAAUUGUAUAAUCAAAUAUCCGCUUUGGGUUUUCAUUGUUAUGCGUUAAUUUAUGUUAUUUAAUUUUAGUUAUUUAAUUUUGUGGCAGGUUAUCUUUUCUUUGUUGUUGUUGCAUGUUUGAUGAGUGUUGUUGUGACCCUUCAACGACAAACAUAUAUGUUUGAUGAUGAAAAGAAAUUAUAAUAUCUUUUUAAUGCAGUUGUAAAUUGUGAUCCUAUUUUACUAUUUGUGGUUUGUAAUAUCUUGAUGAUGGAAUAAAAUGAAUAUGUGUUUAGUGCGA